UUCCUGGAGGACCAGUGGUUAGGCCUCGGCGCUCUCAUCACCAUGGUCCGGGUUUAAUUCCUGGCCAGGGAA